GACGAACGCUGGCGGCGUGCUUAACACAUGCAAGUCGAACGGAAAGGCCCGCUUGCGGGUACUCGAGUGGCGAACGGGUGAGUAACACGUGGGCAACCUGCCCUCAGCUUCGGGAUAACACUUGGAAACAGGUGCUAAUACCGGAUAAUAACCUUUCAUCGCAUGGUGGUUGGUUCAAAGUUUUUCGGCUGAGGAUGGGCCCGCGGCCUAUCAGCUUGUUGGUGGGGUAAUGGCCUACCAAGGGGACGACGGGUAGCCGGCCUGAGAGGGCGACCGGGCACAAUGGGACUGAGAGACGGCGCAGACGCCAACGGGGGGCAGCAGUGGGGAAUAUGGCGCAAUGGGCGGAAGCCUGAGGCAGCGACGCCGCGUGAGGGAUGACGGGCUGCGGGUUGUAAACCUCUUUCAGCUCUGACGAAGCGCAAGCGACGGUAGGAGCAGAAGAAGCACCGGCCAACUACGUGCCAGCAGCCGCGGUAA
rnacentral:rRNA from 1 species